AACCCGUAGAUCCGAACUUGUGUGGCAACCUCGCAAUUUCUUUCGCAAGUUCGAUUCUAAGGGCGCA
rnacentral:pre_miRNA from 1 species